AACGAACGCUGGCGGCGUGCUUAAGACAUGCAAGUCGAGCGGGAGUGAGGCUUCGGCUUCACUCCAGCGGCGCACGGGUGAGUAACACGUGGGUAACCUACCUCCAGGUCUGGGAUAACCUCGGGAAACUGGGGCUAAUACCGGAUGAGACCACGAGGUCCUCGGACUUCGCGGGAAAAGAUGGCCUCUGCUUGCAAGCUAUCACCAGGAGAUGAGCCCGCGCCCCAUUAGCUAGUUGGCGGGGUAACGGCCCACCAAGGCAACGAUGGGUAGCUGGUCUGAGAGGACGACCAGCCACACUGGAACUGAGACACGGUCCAGACUCCUACGGGUGGCAG
rnacentral:rRNA from 1 species